AUGGAUUCUUUGGUAGAAAAUGAUUCCAAGGAGAACAGUGUCUUGGUUUCACUGCUCACCCUGUCCUUGACAUUAGCUCAGCAGUUGCAGUUGAAAAACUGUUGUCUACCUUCUCCUGGCUUGUCUUUGCUUUAUCUCCUCUUCUCCUGUGUCACUGCCUCUACUGUCUCAUCUUUAUCUGUCUUUCCCCUCUCAUCUCUUCAACAUGUCCUUUAUCCUCUCUCUCUCUUCCUCCACUCUGUCUGUGUCUCUUCUCUAUCUCCUUUCUCUUCUCUCUUCCUCUACUCCCUCUCUGUCUCCUUUCUGGUCUCUUCUCUCUCUCCUUUCUCCAUUAUGUCUACCUUUACUGUUUCAUCUUUAUCUGUCUUUCCCUUCUCAUUUCUUCAACAUGUCUUUCCUCUAUCUCUGCCUCCACUCUUCUUUAUCUCUGUCUCAUCUCUCUUGACCCCUCCACACUCCUUUUUAUCUCUCUCACUUCUAGUCUUUUUCUCCAUCUCCUUUCUCCUCUCUCUUCCUUUGCUCUCUUUUUUAUCUCUGUCUCUCCCUUCUCCUGGCUUGCCUCUUCUCUAUCUCCUUUGUCCUCUCUCUCUGCCUCUAUUCUCUCUUUCUUUCUCCCUUCUGGCUUAUCUCUUUUCUAUCUCCUUUCUCCACUCUUUCUACCUCUACCCUCCCAUUUCUCUCUCUCUCUCUCUCUCUCUCUCUCUCUCUCUCUCUCUCUCUCUCUCUCUCUCUCUCUCUCUCUCUCUCUUUCUCUCUCUCUCUCACAGUUUAUCUCUUUUCUUUCUCCCUUCUUGUAUCUUCUCUCUCCUUCCUUUGUUUUUUCUCCUUGUCUCUCAUUUCUCUGUAUCUCCUUUGUUCUUUUUGUCUCUCCUUUAUUCUCCUCUCCAUCUUUUCUCACCCCCUUUUCCUCUUCUCUUUUCUGUGUCUCUACAUUCCUCUCUCUGUUUCUUCUGUCCUCUGUCCCUCUUUUGUCUUCUUUUUUCCCCUCUGUCCUUUCUCAUCUGUCCUGCACAUCUCUUUCCUUUCUUUUCUCCCCUCCAUAUUUUUCUUCUUUUUUUCCUCUCUUCUUUCCUCUCUGAUCUUUCCUUUUCCCUUUCUCUUCUCUUCCUCUGUUUCAUUCAGUCUAUCCUUUUUUACUUGAUUUCUCUCUUUUCUUCUCUCCUAUUUCUCCUUCCCCAUCUCUUUUUCUCUCUACUCUUUUAUCAGUCUCUACUUUCUCUUCUGCCGCUCCCUUUUCUCCUCUAG
rnacentral:lncRNA from 1 species